GACGAACGCUGGCGGCGUGCUUAACACAUGCAAGUCGAACGGAAAGGCCCUGCUUUUGUGGGGUGCUCGAGUGGCGAACGGGUGAGUAACACGUGUGUAACCUGCCCUUGACUUUGGGAUAACUUCAGGAAACUGGGGCUCAUACCCGAUAGGAGCUCCUGCUGCAUGGUGGGGGUUGGAAAGUUUCGGCGGUUGGGGCUGGUCUCGCGGCUUAUCAGCUUGUUGGUGGGGUAGUGGCUUACCAAGCCUUUGACGGGUACCCGGCCUGAGAGGGUGACCGGCCACAUUGGGACUGAGAUACGGCCCAGACUCCUACGGGAGGCAGCAGUGGAGAAUAUGGCACAGUGGGCGGAAGCCUGAUGCAGCAACGCCGCGUGCGGGAUGACGGCCUUCGGGUUGUAAACCGCUUUCGCCUGUGACGAAGCGUGAGUGACGGUAAUGGGUAAAGAAGCACCGGCUAACUACGUG
rnacentral:rRNA from 1 species